rnacentral:lncRNA from 1 species
CUCAUUUGUAAUAUUUUUGCAACUUUUAUGUUGGUCUGAAGUUCUUUGCAAACGAAUAGUUUAGCUAAUUAGGAUGGCGGGUCAAUGACCAUGAUGUCCCCGGAGACAUUUGUGGGUGGCUGGCCUGGCCCCGCCCUCCGUGGUGUGUUCUGGGUUUUAAUCGUCCGCCCCGCCCCAGUGCGUGCUCCCGCCCUUCGCUCCCGGUACCCGCUGGUCUGUCCCGUCUCAGUCAAGAAUUGUCAAACGUGUGCUGAGCGCCAGUGCGUGCCAGGCUCCGGCAGGGCCGGGGGAGAGCAAGCAGAAGUUGUCCCCGUCCUCAAGGAGCUACAGUCUAACAGGGAAGACAGAACCAACCAGAGAAUCGCAAAGGGCGUGGCCCACCCCCCAAAGGAGAACGGUUGCUUCCCUCUGUCAAGUGGUUCUGGGGACACUGCCUCUGCUCUUGGCUGUAGCAAUGGACACAAAAUCCAGACCUGGCCGAUCAUGAUGUUCAGUAUGGAGAUGACCAAACUGGGCCAAGCAGAAUGCUUCUCUGGAGCUCCCACGUGGAUGCCAGGGUGA